rnacentral:rRNA from 1 species
UACGUAGGGUGCGAGCGUUAAUCGGAAUUACUGGGCGUAAAGCGUGCGCAGGCGGUUGUGUAAGACAGGUGUGAAAUCCCCGGGCUUAACCUGGGAACGGCGCUUGUGACUGCACGGCUAGAGUACGGCAGAGGGGGGUGGAAUUCCACGUGUAGCAGUGAAAUGCGUAGAUAUGUGGAGGAACACCGAUGGCGAAGGCAGCCCCCUGGGCCAGUACUGACGCUCAUGCACGAAAGCGUGGGGAGCAAACAGG